CAGAACAGCGAAGAGAUCUGUCUCUUUUGCCCCCUUGUGUGUUGUGGCACAGUACUAUUUUAUGGUGUUGUGCAAGCUGGUGACAUGGGUAGAGAGAUAAGACCUCACCUUUGGAUGCUGCUGCAGUUCCUGGUUGCUGGCACAGUAAUGCAGCAAUGCAGAAUUUCCUGCUCUUGCCUGCCUGAACUAGGUGCAAUAUAAAGCAGCUUAAAGGAAGAUUUGUUCAAUUCCAACUUCAAAGCAGACCUGAGGAUAUUUUCGUUGGAAGAGGAACACCAGCAUGGUCUCCUGUAAAGCUGCAGCUCCUGCUCUGAGACAUGAGCUUGGAUCAUUAAAGAAACCAGCACGUGGCAGCGAAGAAGGGCUGCUGACCGCUGAGGCAGCCUUGCCGGGGAGGAAAGUGGAAUAAAGGGAACGCUGGACCAGUUUGGUACUCCUGCCUGCAGCACAUGCUACUCACAAUGCAGUAAGAGCCCGGUGAGCGCCUGGGAGGAACUGCCGGCUGCAGCCUUGCUCCAUCAGCAAGAGAUGUGCCAAGAGGCUUGGAGCUGAUCAGCCCCAGAAGGCAACUUCCUGAUGCAAUUAAGAUAGAGCUGACAAGCAUUUCUGCAGGAAGUUUUGUGACCCCAGCAAGUGAAUAGGGUUCAUGUCCUGACAGUAAUUAAAUGACAGAUUCACUUUUGGGUUGAGGAGAGAACAUGUGCUCUAGGGUGGUCCAUCAAAUCCAGAAACAGCACCACGCAACUGAAAAGACAGCUCGAACAAAGGAUUUCACAAUGAAACUUCUACAGCUAAAGCAUUUGGGAUCAUUGGGUCUGGAUCCAGUUCCCAGCUACAGCUUUUCAGCAUGAGCUGAGGCUCUCAGGUUCCUCAUCUGUAUAAGGGCAACAAUACUCCAUCCCCUCUUUACAGGAAGGUUGCAAACAAAUGUGAAGCUAUCUAACAGCCCGGUGGAGCCUCCAGCAGAAGAAGCCACAAGCGCAUGGUGAGACCACAUGCCUGACUAUCUUGAUGGUUGCCUGUGUGAUCUCAAGAGACUAAAAUCCCUUCUCCAAAUCAUGCAAAAUCGCAAACUGUAGAAAGCAGAAAACCCAAAGGCAAAUAAUCUGUUUGAAAACAGGACAUGAGUUAAUGGAGAGUUUUUAUUGUGCAGAGUGAAUAUUUGGUGUGUAUUUAUUUAUAUUUCUCUCUCCUACCUUCCCCUUUUAUACUUUAAAGCAAUUCAGAAGCAAGAUAAAGAUAUGUUUCACACCAUCACACCAGCUUCUUCAGGUUUGUGAUCAAGUAACUUUUUUUCCUCCUUCAGCUGUUGAAGGAAGCUGAUUGCUGGGAAUUGCCAAAAGGAGCGGAUUAGCGUCUGCUGAAUGUUGCUAAUUCCUAGGACUGAUUGAAAGCCAGGCAGUGCCCUUGACAGCUCCCCCCCAGCCAUCUCUGAUGGCCACCCAGCUGUUCUCCCACUCCAGCCUUCAGAUUUACAGUCUGUCACGGCUCACAGCUGUGAGCAGGACUUGAACAGGGCUGGCCCGCUGUGGUUGGAAGGACUAGCCCUCAUUUCUGGGGGCUGCUACCUUGCUUUCCAAAAAAUCCUAGCAUUCAGAAGAGCAAACAAAACCACACAGUAAAUUCUUCAAAUGGAUGGGUCCCAAAGCAGUGGAUCUACCCUAAGCAUGCAAACAGCUGGAUACAAGGGCACCAAGAAACAUAGAGUUGCUUCUUAGAUAUUUCAGAGGACUCUUAACUAUUUGGAAGGUCAGCAAGGCCAGUUGUUUUGCAGCUGCUCCAAACAUAUGAGAAGAGGGAUGCAGUAAAGAUUUGAUACAUCACCAUUUGGCCAUUGGGAAGAAGACACAAUUCUUCAUCAGCUCACUCCUCAGCCCUGGGUCCAUUCUCCAGAGUACUGUCUUUUAAUGCUGGUUCUUCAACACCAAAAGAUCAGACUAUUGCCUGCCAAUGGCUGCCAGUUUACAGGACUGAUCUGAGGUCUGCAGUAGUGCUCCACUGAUUUGAUGGCAGGCUGAUGGCUCUUAAAAUGGCAGAAAAUGGAUGCAAGGGUUGUUCCAUAUAUUUUUUUUUAUGCUUCCCAGCUGGUUAUAUUCAAUCCUGGACCAGAUACCUAAA